UACGGAGGGUGCGAGCGUUAAUCGGAAUUAUUGGGCGUAAAGGGUGCGUAGGUGGAAAUAUAAGUUAGUUGUGAAAUACCUGGGCUCAACCUAGGGAUAUAGACUAAUACUGUAUAACUAGAGUAUAGGAGAGGGUAGUGGAAUUUCCGGUGUAGCGGUGAAAUGCGUAGAUAUCGGAAGGAACACCGGUGGCGAAGGCGGCUACCUGGCCUGAUACUGACACUGAAGCACGAAAGCGUGGGGAGCGAACAGG
rnacentral:rRNA from 1 species